AGAAAGAAUUAGAUUCAUCUGUUCAUUGCUAUUCUGAACACAGGACAGAGCACUGCAUAUUUUUGUGUGAGAGAAUUAAUCAGCGACGUUUGUCCUUAACAAGACUUAAUUAAGUAGCCUUUCGAUGGAUAUAUCACCAUUCUUCAAAGACCACAUGGAGUCGUUAACGGCAAACAAACAAACAGCCUUUUUCAAGGCUUCCAGCCUAUUUACAGGCAUCCCACCAGCCUUUUCCCCUUUCCCCUUUUUCUCGGGACUCCUCCCAACGGAUACAAGGUGAACAUGGCACUUUCUCGUGCCCGGGAUGAAGUGCACUACCUGAAAAGGAAGGUGAGCGAACUCAGUGCUCACACUGAAACUGGGAGGUACAGUUUGACCAACCUGUUUAAAGGCAAAGAUCUUGCCUAUGAGCAGACAAGAACAGAAAGAAGUUUUCAGACCACAUCAGGGAGAACAAGGGUUUGUCUCUGAAGCUCCACAGAGACCACCGAACAACUCGUUGUCCAAAAUGCUGAACCCACGGUCCAGCAGCAGGCCAACAACCAACGGUUGAAAGCAGAACACAAACUGCUAAAGAGCAAGACAGAGGCUCUGGCUGAGGUUAUCGGGGAAAAGAAGAGUUUGUUUCUGAAGCUCUUUGAGUACGGCGAACAACUCUUCGUCAAAAGUGCUGAACUCACGGUCAACAAAGGGACCUGGCAGCAGAAGUUGGAGGAAAAGACAUUCAAGGAACAGUCUUUGGAGUAAGUAACAGGGUUACUCUCCACCAACAUUUCUCUUCAAGAGGAGCUGCACAAGCAGCAGGCCAACAACCAGCAGUUGGUAGAAGAACACAAACUGCUAAAGAUCAAGACAGAGGCUCUGGAUGAGACUAUCAGGGAGAACGAAGGUUUAUCUCUGAAGCUCACCGAGACCACAAAACAACUUUCUGUCAAAAGUGCUGAACUCAGGGUCAACAACGAGACGUGGCAGCAGUUGGAAGCAGAAAACAAACUGCUGAAGACCCAGAGGGAUUCUCUGGCUGCUUUAAAAAAGAGCCAAGAGGAAACCCACCACGAGAUGGUCACUAGCACUGAGUUGUGCCUGAUCUCUAAGAUCCAACAAACGGAGGAUACCAUUCCCAAAGAACAUCAGAUCCUUAUCACCAGGAUCCAAGAAUUAGAGGACGACAAAACAGUCCUUGAAAACAUCUGCCUCGACUUAAAAAAACGGACCGGCAGACGGAGAUGGACAAAAUGAGGCAUAAGCUGCAGGACAAGGAGAUAAAGAAAUAGGAGAGAGAAGAAAAAGCAGACCAUCCAGGACGUCAACAUCAACGUGCCUGAGACUGGACACCUGUAAGAACACCUUCCUUCACCUCCCACUCCAUCCUACCUCAUCCAUCUACCCUGAAAAAAAAAAAAAAAAGAGAUCUGAAAAAAAGAGAUCUAAAAAAGAAAGAUCUAAAGAAAAAAAAGAUCCCAGAGGGAUUCUCUGGCUGCUUAUUUUUUUUACAACCUAAUCAGGUUUGCACAUUUCCCUUACCUGAUUUCUGCCUUAUUUUUAUUUCAUGUACAUUUAUUUAAAUAUUGUUUUGUUAUUUUUUAUUUUUUAAUUGGUCGGCUUUAAUUAACUGUACUGUUAAUUUAUAUUGCACACAUUUCAUUUCAUUUUUUUUUUACAACCUGCCAAGAGGUUACCCACCACGAGAUGGUCACAAGCAGUGGUUUCACUGCGUUGUGCCUGAUCGCUAAGAUCCAACAAACGGAGGAUACCAUCCCCAAAGAACAACAGAUCCUUAUCAGCAGGAUCCAAGAAUUAGAGGACAACAAAACAGUCCUUAAAAACAUCUGCCUGUGCUUAAAAAAAAAAAAAAGGCCGGCAGACGGAGAUGGACAAAAUGAGGCAUAAGAUGCAGGACAAGGAGAUAAAGAAAUAGGAGAGAGAAGAAAAAGCAGACCAUCCAGGACGUCAACAUCAACGUGCCUGAGACUGGACACCUAUAAGAACACCUUCCUUCACCUCCCACUCCAUCCUACCUCAUCCAUCUACCCUGAAAAAAACUAAAAAAAGAUCUAAAAAAAAAAAAAAGAGAUCUGAAAAAAAAGAGAUCUAAAAAAGAAAGAUCUAAAAAGAAAAAAAGAUCCCAGAGGGAUUCUCUGGCUGCUUAUUUUUUUUACAACCUGCUCAGUCUUGCACAUUUCCCAUACCUCAUUUCUGCCUUAUUUUUAUUUCAUGUACAUUUAUUUAAAUAUUGUUUUGUUAUUUUUUAUUUUGUAAUUGGUUGGCUUUAAUUAACUGUACUGUUAAUUUAUAUUGCACACAUUUCAUUUCAUUUUUUUUUUUACAACCUGCUCGGUUUUGCACAUUUCCGCUUACCUCAUUUGUGCCUUCUUUUUAUUUCAUGUACAUUUAAGUAAAUAUUGUAUUUUUAUUUUUGUUUUUAUUUUAAAAUUGGUCGGCUUUAUAGAAAAGGCGAGCACCACGAGCUGGUCACAAGCAGUGGUUUCACUGAGUUGUGCCUGAUCUCUAAGAUCCAACAAAUGGAGGAUACCAUCCCCAGGGACCUCCCACUCCAUCCUACCUCAUCCUUCUCAAAUAACAAUAAAGGAAAUGUUUACCCCAAUCUGCUGUCUACUGGUUAUCACUAGAUUGUACUUACAGACCAACUUAUUUUACUGUUUACUACAGUGAUUCACUUAUUUUCACUUAUUACACAUGUAGACAUUAGUAAUUGAAAUAUAUUAACUUGGCUGUUGUUGUUGUUCCUGUUUAUGUUGCUGCUGCUUUUCCAUGAUGUUGAGUACAAUCUUCUCAAUAGAAGCUUGUGUCAGCAUCUGAACAGGUGGAGGUGGGUGAACAAUUGCAACAGACAUCGUAACAACUGGCACACUAGUGGUCUCACUCACCUCUGUCAGAGAGUUUCUGCCUCUCUUGCAGUUUUUCUGGACUGACGUUUAAAGAGGAACUGGUGUUCAACAAUUUGCUGAGGUGCUUUACAUAUUGUAGAACAUGUAGUUUUGUUGUUGGGUGGAGCAUGCUGUUGGGGUCUGUACAGGAGUUGUGAACUAGAGCAGCGUAGUCCUGGUCCACAAGCUUCAGUGUGUCUUUCUGCUCAUGGGUUUUGUUGAGCAGCUGGUUGAUAACUGCCAGCGACGGCGGACGUAGAGUUUCUACAGGAACAAAAGACGGAGUAUAAUAAGUCAUUCUGACCUAUAGAAUCAAAUACUUGUAUAAUAAAUAUAAACUUUCAUUAAAAUCUCAUGAAAGACUGGUAUUUGUAUGUGAAUGUUUAUUCAAUAACACCCUUAAUACAUUUUCACAUCUUGUAAAAAAAUCGAAAAGUGACACAAAGGUAUGGAGCAAACUGGAACAACCUUGAUGGUGCCAGUGAGGAUGACAGAGGAACCUCCGACUAGGUAGCGAGUGGAUCACUUUGAGGAGGUGGAUUCGGGGCCUGGGUGUGAUCUGUCUUGCUGUUCUGCUUGUCCCAGUCCAGAGGAACUGAGCAAAGGAACUGUACAGGGCGUGAUGCUCCGACACACACUCACGGAGGAACCGCCUCAUGCAGUGAAACAAGUCCAGC
ensembl:lncRNA